rnacentral:tRNA from 1 species
UCCGGCGUAGCUCAGUGGUAGAGCGGGUCGCUGUCAUAGGCAGCCUUCUUGGGUAACCAAGUACGGAAACACAGGGUGAAUUGCGGGAAAUCUAAGUCCACCUAAGGUGGAUAUGACAAUCCGCAGCCAAGCCAAGAUUGGGAUAAAGGAUCUUGGAAGGUUCAGAGACUAGAGUGUGAGCCCAACAAUACUCCCUCACAAGCGCCCUGCUCCAUCUUUUUGAUGGAUGAUGAGAUAGUCCACGCAUCCUCGAAAGAGAUGAUCACGUGUAACGAUUAGGUCGCUGGUUCGAAUCCAGCCGCCGGAGCCA